GGCUGAUCGAGGACGACUCAACACAGUAUCAGAUGCAGGAGGCUAUGGAGCCUGGGCAGCAGCAAACAAUGACCUAGAUCAGUGGAUUCAAGCCGAUCUCGGUUCAGUGAAACGUGUAGUUGGAGUAAUAACACAAGGGCGAAGUGGUGGGGGUCAAUGGGUUAAAACAUACAAAGUUACUUCCAGUACCAAUGGUAGCAUUUUCACACCAGUAUUGGGAUCGAGUGGUCAAGUUGAGAUUUUUAGUGCAAACUCAGAUGCAAACACCGAGGUGA